GUGACGAAGCGACGCCGCGUGUGGGAAGAAGGCCUUCGGGUUGUAAACCACUGUCGGGAGUUAGGAAAUGCAGGUGCGUUAAUAGCGCACUUGCUUGACUAAGCUCCAGAGGAAGCCACGGCUAACUCUGUGCCAGCAGCCGCGGUAAUACAGAGGCGGCAAGCGUUGUCCGGAAUUAUUGGGCGUAAAGAGCACGUAGGCGGCCUUGCAAGUCAGUUGUGAAAGCCUUCCGCUUAACGGAAGAACGGCAUCUGAUACUACAGGGCUUGAGUACGGGAGGGGAGAGUGGAACUUCUGGUGGAGCGGUGAAAUGCGUAGAUAUCAGAAGGAACGCCGGCGGCGAAAGCGACUCUCUGGUCCGAAACUGACGCUGAGUGUGCGAAAGCUAGGGGAGCAAACGGGAUUAGAUACCCCGGUAGUCCUAGCCGUAAACGAU
rnacentral:rRNA from 1 species